rnacentral:rRNA from 1 species
UACGUAGGGUGCAAGCGUUGUCCGGAAUCAUUGGGCGUAAAGCGCGUGUAGGCGGCCCGGUAAGUCCGCUGUGAAAGUCGGGGGCUCAACCUCGGAUGCCGGUGGAUACUGUCGGGCUUGAGUACGGAAGAGGCGAGUGGAAUUCCGUGGUGUAGCGGUGAAAUGCGUAGAUAUCUGGAGGAAUACCGGUGGCGAAGGCGGCAUCCUGGACCGGCAGUUGGACGCGUGAGGAGCGAAAGCCAGGGGAGCCAAAGCGGGAUUAAGCAAACCCG